rnacentral:rRNA from 1 species
CCUACGGGAGGCAGCAGUGGGGAAUAUUGGACAAUGGGGGGAACCCUGAUCCAGCGACGCCGCGUGAGUGAAGAAGUAUUUCGGUAUGUAAAGCUCUAUCAGCAGGGAAGAAAAUGACGGUACCUGACUAAUAAGACCCGGCGAAAUACGGGUCAGCAGCCGCGGGAAUACGUAGGGGGCAAGCGUUAUCCGGAUUUACUGGGGGGAAAGGGAGCGGAGACGGUGCAGCAAGUCUGAUGUGAAGGGUCGGGGCCCAACCCCCGGACUGCAUUGGAAACUGUUGAACUGGAGUACAGGAGAGGUAAGCGGAAUUCCUAGUGUAGCGGUGAAAUGCGUAGAUAUUAGGAAGAACACCAGUGGCGAAGGCAGCUUACUGGACUGUAACUGACGUUGAGGCUCGAAAGCGUGGGGAGCAAACAGGAUUAGAUACCCGGGUAGUC